UACUCCUACGGGAGGCAGCAGUGAGGGAUAUUCGGCAAUGGGGGAAACCCUGACCGAGCAACGCCGCGUGAGGGAUGACGGUUUUCGGAUUGUAAACCUCUGUCCUCUGUGAAGAUAAUGACGGUAGCAGAGGAGGAAGCUCCGGCUAACUACGUGCCAGCAGCCGCGGUA
rnacentral:rRNA from 1 species